rnacentral:ncRNA from 2 species
AUCUUAUCAAGAGUAGGUGGAGGGACUGGCCCGAUGAAACCCGGCAACCGGCGGUAUACCGCACGGUGCUAAUUCUUGCAGCGACCAAGUGUCCAAGUUGACACUGUUGUAACUGAGAGAUGAGAG